rnacentral:rRNA from 1 species
UAAGGAAUAUUGCUCAAUGGGAGAAAUCCUGAAGCAGCAACGCCGCGUGGAGGAUGAAGGGUCUAUGACUUGUAAACUCCUGUAAAGAAGGAAAAAAUUCCCAUUUGAUGGGAGAUGAUGGUACUUCUGGAGUAAGCCCCGGCUAACUACGUGCCAGCAGCCGCGGUAAUACGUAGGGGGCAAGCGUUGUCCGGAUUUACUGGGUGUAAAGGGUGCUCAGGCGGAUUUGUAAGUCAGAGGUGAAAUCUUACAGCUUAACUGUGAAACUGCCUUUGAUACUGCAAGCCUAGAGUAUGGAAGAGAGUGAUGGAAUAUCUGGUGUAGCAGUGAAAUGCGUGGAUAUCAGAUAGAACACCAAUGGCGAAGGCAGUCACUUGGUCCAUUACUGACGCUAAAGCACGAAAGCGUGGGUAGCAAACA